UUCCUGAUUUUCCCCCACAUCCCUCUGGGGGAAGUGAGUGAGCAGCAGAGUGGUACUGAGCUGCCUGCUGGGUUAACCACAGCAGGAAGUGUGUAGAGGUAAUCCUAUCACUGAUACAUGCUGUUAUGGAAGACAAUCAAUGCACUCCAAAACAAGUUUAAAGCCAUUCCCUCUUGUCCUAUCAUUCUGCCUGUGAAGAUAUACUUUGAAAGUAUAUACUGAAAGAUGAUGAAGAAUGUGGAUCUAGGCUGGAAAGAGUAAGAGGCACGUAGGACAUGACAAGGCAGGCAAGCUGCAGUUUUCUGUAAGGUUAAGGAGGAUUCGGAUAUCUCUACUUCCUUAUCUGCUCAUUCACAAUUAUUGGUUUCAGCAGAGAGGCAGUCUGACCAAAUGACAUCUGAUGUGGAAGUGCGCAUGAAGCAAAGGUGUGUCAUUGAAUUCCUCCAUGUGGAAAAAAUGGCAUCCAUUGACAUUUAUCUAUGCUUGCUGAGUGUUUAUGGAGACCAAACAGUGGAUGAGCACAGUAAAGUGGUGGGUGGUGUGUUUCAACAGUGGCUGAAAGUGAUGUGAAAGAUAAGGCACGUUCAGGACAGCUACGAAAUCAAGAACAUCUCAAUCAACUCAUAUGUGCAGAUUGGUGGAUUAUGACCAGGCAACUUUGUAUGGAGCUGAAUAUUAGCCUCAAUGCAUUGGAUAUUGCCAAUAAGAAGUGUAUGAAGU
ensembl:lncRNA